GACGAACGCUGGCGGCGUGCCUAAUACAUGCAAGUCGACCUUAGUGGCGAACGGGUGAGUAACACGUGGGUAACCUGCCCAUCAGAAGGGGAUAACACUUGGAAACAGGUGCUAAUACCGUAUACUGAUGGAUGGACCCUCGGUGCAUUAGCUAGUUGGUGAGGUAACGGCUCACCAAGGCCACGAUGCAUAGCCGACCUGAUAGGGGGAUCGUACCACGUGGGACUGGUAAACGGCCCAAACUCCUACGGGAGGCAGCAGUAGGGCAUCUUCGGCAAUGGACGAAAGUCUGACCGAGCGACGCCGCGUGAGUGAAGAAGGUUUUCGGAUCGUAAAACUCUGUUGUUAGAGCAGCGGUAUCUAACCAGAAAGCCACGGCUAACUACGUGCCAGCCGCCGCGGUAAUAC
rnacentral:rRNA from 1 species